rnacentral:lncRNA from 1 species
UAUCGAUUUUGUCUGCAAUAAAAUACAUUGCACAGCUCAAUCAAUAAAACAUGUUACAACAUCUGUUUGUCAUUUAUAAUUCGUUAAUUAAAAAUUUAUCUUCAAAUAUCGGCUUGUGCCCAUCGGACGAAAGAAAUUUAUAAAGUGUUUUUCCAGUUAAUUCAGGUAAAUCUAAAUUAGUUUUGUUAUAUGCUUAGUAUCAUCUGUUCCUAUAGUAUAACUCAAUUUUCAUAAACCAAAUGUAAAUGUUUAUAAAUAAUGAUUUUUCUAGAACAAUGCGGAUUUCAGAUUCGACUGAAUGCUGUGUUUUACAUAGUAAGAGGUUUAGCUUGCUUUACAACAAGGUUUAAUCCACCAUUUUCUACACAAGAAAAUGCCUGUACCAAGUCAGGAAUAUGUAAGUUGUUAUCCAUUCGUUUGAUGUGUUAGAGCUUUUGAUUUUGCCAUUCAAUUAUGACUUUCCGUUUUGAAUUUUCCUCAGAGUUCAGUAUUUUUGUGAUUAUACUUUUUGUUCAAAUCAAUAACGUCGUGAAAUGUAGCACUGCACAUCCCCGUUCAGUACUAAUUUUGAUGUGCCUUAGAACAUAUCUCUCCUAGCAUUUUUUGCAUAUUUAUGUUUGCUUUCCUAUAAAUAUUUGGGUUUUCUGAUGAAUGUAAAUCUAGAAAAGCACUUUUAACGCAUACAAUUUAAACAAAAUUGAAGACGUGGUUUUUUUCUUUGACACAAUUUCACAAGCAUUUCAUCAUUUUGUCCUAAAAAUAGCUGGUACUAAAAAAUAGCAUAUUGUUUAUGGAUAACAGUUUACAAAUGAUGUUUUGAAAUAUCUGUGAUUUUGAUUAUUUAAACACUUUUUUUCUAAAAAUACAUCGUUAACAUGGUCUAUUUAAAGACUGAUUUUAGAGACAUGCAAUUAUAUAUCUCAUUUUGAUAUCAGAAAACUACAUGAACAUAGCUGCCUCAUCAUAUCGUCGUGACAACGCUAUGUUUGUAAUAUUAUUGAUUAUGCAACCUAAUUACCAGAAUAAAAUCUCUAGCUAAAAUUCACAAUAUCUAAGUGUAUACCUGUCUUUUGUUGUGUGUCUAUACAAUUGGAAUCAAUUUUAGAUACACAAAGAUGUUUCACAUCAGUAAUUCUAAUAGAAUUUGUCUUGUAGUUUGAUUCUUCAUUAAAUAUGAAGCACGUUCGUCACAUCACAAAAUUGUAUUGUCUCAGAUAUUGAUCAAGUAAUGUCAAUAUUUUCCAAAACCAUGUAAACUUCUCAUAAAAUAUUCAAUCCGCCCUUAAACAUAGUUCAACGCCUGAAACAAUGUGUCAAUUGACUACAAAUUCGUUCACGGUUUUUUUUAUUUGAGUGGGUUUUUUUUACGUUUUAAAUUUUGUGGUUCGUUUUAAUUUCGAUUUUAAGAAAGAUAGGCUGCAUUUUUCAGUAAAUAGUAACAUGAAUGUCUCUAAAUUUUUAGAUAUUUCAUGUUAUGAAAUUGAUUUUUCUAAGUAAAAGAAAGUCGUUUGUUUAAUUCAUAUAAAUUAUAAAAUACUCUACUCUUCCCUCAUCUAUAACACCGUUAUUUACAAAACCGGUAUCUUUUUCCAUUGCCGUUAAGAUAAAUACUGAGAAUAUAAUAAUACUUGCUUGUGUAAGUGAACAAAUGACAAGUCAAUAUAUAUUUAAUUUAUAUAUAAUAUUCACCAGAAUUAACUUAUUUCAUAAUGGGACUGUUCACAAACAACCUCUGGCCUUACUUAAUCUUGUUUGUGUUUUUCUAAAAUAUUAAAUAAUAUAAAAUAAUAUAAAAUAUUUUUCUAAAAUAUUAAGUUCAUUUGUAUGUUUCAGAGUGUGAUAUCAAUUGUUGCUGAAUUAGUAUACGAUUUUGUUAAGUGACCAGCUAAAACCAGCCUCCAGGUGCGGUACUUACUCGCUGUGUGUUGAAGACCAAUUGGCGGCCUUGUGCUGUUUUUUGCUGUUUGAUCAG